GACAGAGGGUGCAAACGUUGUUCGGAAUUACUGGGCGUAAAGCGUGUGUAGGCGGCUAUGUAAGUCGGAUGUGAAAGCCCCGGGCUCAACCCGGGAAGUGCACUCGAUACUGCCGUGCUUGAGGACUGGAGAGGAGACUGGAAUUUACGGUGUAGCAGUGAAAUGCGUAGAGAUCGUAAGGAAGACCAGUGGCGAAGGCGGGUCUCUGGACAGUUCCUGACACUGAGGCACGAAGGCCAGGGGAGCAAACGGG
rnacentral:rRNA from 1 species